CAAAGAUUAAGCCAUGCAUGUCUCAGUACAAGCCAAAUUAAGGUGAAACCGCGAAAGGCUCAUUAAAUCAGUUAUGGUUCCUUAGAUCGUACCCACAUUUACUUGGAUAACUGUGGUAAUUCUAGAGCUAAUACAUGCAAACAGAGCUCCGACCGGAGACGGAAGGAGCGCUUUUAUUAGAUCAAAACCAAUCGGUGGCGGGUCUCCCGUCACCGUACACCUUGGUGACUCUGAAUAACUUAUUGCUGAUCGCACGGUCUCGCACCGGCGACGCAUCUUUCAAAUGUCUGCCUUAUCAACUGUCGAUGGUAGGUUCUGCGCCUACCAUGGUUGUAACGGGUAACGGGGAAUCAGGGUUCGAUUCCGGAGAGGGAGCCUGAGAAACGGCUACCACAUCCAAGGAAGGCAGCAGGCGCGCAAAUUACCCACUCCCGGCACGGGGAGGUAGUGACGAAAAAUAACGAUACGGGACUCAUCCGAGGCCCCGUAAUCGGAAUGAGUACACUCUAAACCCUUUAACGAGGAUCAAUUGGAGGGCAAGUCUGGUGCCAGCAGCCGCGGUAAUUCCAGCUCCAAUAGCGUAUAUUAAAGUUGUUGCGGUUAAAAAGCUCGUAGUCGAAUUUGUGUCCCGCGCCGCCGGUUCAUCGCUCGCGGUGUCAACUGGCGUGUCCGCGGGACGUCCUGCCGGUGGGCUUAGCCCCCCGUGGGCGGCCCAAUCUCAAUCCCACCGCGGUGCUCUUCACUGAGUGUCGAGGUGGGCCGGCACGUUUACUUUGAACAAAUUAGAGUGCUUAAAGCAGGCUAAAACAUCGCCUGAAUACUGUGUGCAUGGAAUAAUGGAAUAGGACCUCGGUUCUAUUUUGUUGGUUUUCGGAACCCCGAGGUAAUGAUUAAUAGGAACGGAUGGGGGCAUUCGUAUUGCGACGUUAGAGGUGAAAUUCUUG
rnacentral:rRNA from 2 species